GAUGAACGCUGGCGGCGUGCUUAAUACAUGCAAGUCGAGCGAGGACCACCUGGUGGCAACACCGGGUGACUCCUAGCGGCGAACGGGUGAGUAACACGUGGGCAACCUGCCCCCGACUCUGGGAUAAGCCCGGGAAACUGGGGCUAACACCGGAUACGAGCCUCCUCCGCAUGGUGGAGGGUGGAAAGGGCCUCGGGCCGGGGAUGGGCCGGCGGCCUAUCAGCUUGUUGGUGGGGUAACGGCCCACCAAGGCGACGACGGGUAGCCGGCCUGAGAGGGUGAACGGCCACACUGGGACUGAGACACGGCCCAGACUCCUACGGGAGGCAGCAGUAGGGAAUCUUGCGCAAUGGGCGAAAGCCUGACGCAGCGACGCCGCGUGCGGGACGAAGGCCCUCGGGUUGUAAACCGCUUUCAGCAGGGACGAAGCGAAAGUGACGGUACCUGCAGAAGAAGGUCCGGCCAACUACGUGCCAGCCGCCGCGGUAAAAC
rnacentral:rRNA from 1 species